rnacentral:rRNA from 1 species
GACGAACGCUGGCGGCGUGCCUAAUACAUGCAAGUAGAACGCACAGUUUAUACCGUAGCUUGCUACACCAUAGACUGUGAGUUGCGAACGGGUGAGUAACGCGUAGGUAACCUGCCUGGUAGCGGGGGAUAACUAUUGGAAACGAUAGCUAAUACCGCAUAAUAUUAAUUAUUGCAUGAUAAUUAAUUGAAAGGUGCAAUUGCACCACUACCAGAUGGACCUGCGUUGUAUUAGCUAGUAGGUGAGGUAACGGCUCACCUAGGCGACGAUACAUAGCCGACCUGAGAGGGUGAUCGGCCACACUGGGACUGAGACACGGCCCAGACUCCUACGGGAGGCAGCAGUAGGGAAUCUUCGGCAAUGGACGAAAGUCUGACCGAGCAACGCCGCGUGAGUGAAGAAGGUUUUCGGAUCGUAAAGCUCUGUUGUAAGAGAAGAACGGGUGUGAGAGUGGAAAGUUCACACGGUGACGGUAUCUUACCAGAAAGGGACGGCUAACUAC